AGGGCUAAAUUGGCCAAUACCUAUACACCUAUAUUUCAACGCAUCACGCUAAAACUGGCUCCCUCAACUGGCUACCUCAAGUGGCUUAUUCACGGUUGCAUUAAGGAAACUAACAAGCGAGAAGUUAGUAGUCUAAGAUGCAAAGUAAAACCAAUUUAUUCAAAUCACCAGCAGUGUUCCACUCGUGGGUGAGUAAAUGAGCGGAUAGCAUAGAAUGGUUAACAUAACGUAAAUCAAAAUCACCAAAUGGACCGGAAAAGAAUAGGAAUACCAAUGAGGAAUGUGCCAGGAAGAUGAUCCGAACGAGGAAUUCCACAACUGAAGGAAAGGUACAAGUUUAGCCUUAACUGUCGGAAGGAUUUCGAAAAUCUAGCAGUAUGAUAUUCUGGAAGUUUUGUAGGGAUGCCCCUGUGUCCCUUACAGACUGCAUCCUCCCUGUCUCCAGAAAUCCGCAUGGGAGGCACAAUGUGGUGGUCACAACGUGCUAGUGUGGCAUUUUUACGAUGCAGGGAUGCAUUCAUAGGGAACGUGUCCGGUCACAGCCCAACAAUCCAUGCACUGUACAAUCUACUGUGAGCAGGCAGGUGGACAGGACCACUCAGGGUUACAAAUGGAGCAUUGGUGUUUGGUGUUUAGUCACCUCCAACAAGGAUGCUUUUUUUUGACACAUGUGGGUGGAAAGGUGUAGAAUGGGCUAAGGAACUUUUUCUCUGUGCUCCCAAAUGUUGUCACUUGGUUGCACUAGUGCUCCUUAAAAAAGUAAGCAUUGAGCCCUCCCCGAGACUCAAAUGAUUUAGACAGACCGCCUUUCAAGAGACUGGGAGCACAUUGCACACUCAUCAGAAAUAGGCUAAAAAGAAGUACGGAUAUUUAAUCAGAAUCCAAAAAUCCUGCUAUAAGUGGCUCACUUUCACUGUGCCAGCAUUGAGCUUUGUGUUUUGUCAGAACGCAUUGAAAUGCAUAAUGUCUCCCAGUUUAAUAACCGAUCUCCCUCCAGCACUAUUCUUUGCUUUUUCUUUUAGCCGUCUCGGCCAUGUUUCCAUCGAGCUUUCCCAACAGAACAUACUAAAUGAUUUGAAUAAGGUUGUCUCUAGCUUUCCCAACAGAACAUACUAAAUGAUUUGAAUAAGGUUGUCUCUAGGUUAUUUACCAACGGAACAUACUAAAUGAUUUGAAUAAGGUUGUCUCUAGCUUUCCCAACAGAACAUACUAAAUUAUUUGAAUAAGGUUGUCUCUAGGUUAUUUACCAACGGAACAUACUAAAUUAUUUGAAUAAGGUUGUCUCUAGGUUAUUUGCACCUGAAUUCAUUGACAUCAUCAUCAUCGUUAGCAGAUCAAUCAUCAUCGUUAGCUGAUCACCUGCAAACACUAAAGCAACUGCUGUUGCAAUAUUGUAGCCUGAGCUAUUUUAUUAUUAUUAUUUUACUACUCGUUCUUUUAGACCUUCGUAAAUCAGGGACACAGGGACAGAAAAACUAAAAGACUGAAAGAAACAUAAAUGAGAGCUUACAAACACCUAGGGCACACGCAAUUAUCAAUUUCCCCAGGGAAAUUCCUCAGUAUGUGUUAAAUUACAAUAAAAAAAGAAAGAUGUGCUUACAGGCUUUGCCAUGUCAACUCCACUCCUGACUUCUGGGAUAAUGUUAUCCUCCACAAAGUUUGAGUCGGUGUCCUUGGUGGGAGAAGUGCUCAUGACACCAUCAUGUGAUCCCCCCCAUUCUGAACUAGUGUCCCCAGCAGAGUCUGUGGUGGGGGUUAUUGGGGUCCUGUCAUCAAAGAGCUUGCUGGUUAUUGCAUCAAAAACAUCCUCUGGGACUGUGGUCCCAUCUUCUUCUACAAUCACUGGUGUUGGCAUAGUUUUAUCUUCCACCUCAUCAUCAGAAUCUAUGAUGGUCUCUUCCAAAGUUGUGGUGACAACUGUGAUUGUUUCCUUAGUGCCUGAUACCAAGGCAGUGGUAUAUUCUUCAAUGACAUACACAGCUGUAAUCCCUCCCCCAGAUUGAGGUACUUCAUCAGCAGACUGGGUAGUUGCGUUUUUUCCUUCCAUAAUGUCAUAAUGGUCAACACUAGUGGUUUGAGAGGGCAGUGCCUCUGAAUCGGACCUUUCCAUGCGAGGUGUAAAUCUAGUGAUUGGAAAUAAUGAGACGGAGCUAGGCGGCGUGCUGGCAGCAAUUGGAGUCUGCUGUGUAGUUCUGAGCGGUGCAUCUUUUCUCCAGGAGAUUUCAGUGACAUUGGUGAGAGUGACAGUGCCUCCUUGAUUAUUAGCAACAUCUGUGGACGAAAGGAUUCAAAACAACUGAAACCUUUAACUCAACAGUGUGUGUCAGCACAAGGUACAAGGUCAUUAUUUAAAAAAAGAAAAUUCUCAGGUAUGUGAAAGGUCAGCAUAUGCUUACCAUCCUGUCCUAAACCAGAGCCUGAACCAGAGAAUUCCAGGUCAUCUCCAGAUGUGUCCAGGUCCUCUGGGACACUGGCAGAGUACUAAAAGGGGAAGGAAAACAGGACAAGUGAGGUUUCUGGGCUUGAGACUGACAAAGUUGACAAAAUAAUUGACCUUACAUGAAUUGGCGCCAUCUGAUUGAGGAUGGUACCUAUCGUACCUACAUACAUUAGGUCAUCUCUGUUUACCAGGUGGGCCUUUUUGCCAUUUAACUGCAGAGGGG
ensembl:lncRNA